UACAGAGGUGGCAAGCGUUGUUCGGAAUUACUGGGCGUAAAGGGCGCGUAGGCGGCCAUCUAAGUCAGACGUGAAAUCCCCCGGCUUAACCUGGGAACUGCGUCUGAUACUGGACGGCUUGAGUAUGGGAGAGGGAUGUAGAAUUCCAGGUGUAGCGGUGAAAUGCGUAGAUAUCUGGAGGAACACCGGUGGCGAAGGCGACAUCCUGGUCCGGUAUUGACGCUGAGGCGCGAAAGCCAGGGGAGCAAACGGG
rnacentral:rRNA from 1 species